AUUACCUUAACUUUUAUAUAGCUUGGUGUUCCUUCUCAUGUAUUGAAAGCAUCAGCGUUCCAAUACGCCAACGAAUGCAACGAGGUCAAUAAAGAGUUCAUGUUAUGUCGUGAGGAAGAGAUGGAUCCACGCAAGUGUUUGAAAUACAACAUUAAGGUGUCGGACUGCGCUGAAAACUUCUUCAGAAAAAUGACAACAGCAUGUGCUGAUGAAAUUGUGGCGUUUGGUAAAUGUUUGGAAAGGGAUCACAAAAGAUCGUUUGUCUAUUGCCGCGAUGAGCAAGUAAAAUUUGA